UCUGUUUGGCUGCUGAGAAAAUGUAGGAAAAGCGAUGAAGCUUGAGGACAUAAAAAUAGGUUGGGUUUGAGACGGCUGUUGCCCUCUUUCCUUUUCCUUUCAUUUCUCAGUAACCAAAGGGA